UUCUUAUAGUCGAAAUAAAAUUAAUCAAAUCUAACCAGUAAUCAGCAGUUGUUAAGUGUUGUUAUAAAUACUUGGAAUCUUUGAAAGGAACAUCUGAGCAACGGAACACGUAGCCUUGCAGUUGGGCCGGGCACUUGUAUAUGAUUGAGUCAAACAGCUAUUGAUUUUCUCUUAAAUUAAUUUAUUAUUUGCAUAAUAUAUCCGCUAUACAUAAAUGACAACCUUGAAAAACAUGCUUACGUAUCAACAUGAGAACGUUUUUCAGUUCUCUUUUUUUAAUAGGACCGAUCUUACUAGGAUUAUUAAUAAAGUGACAUUAAGUAGACCUCUCAA
rnacentral:lncRNA from 1 species